rnacentral:lncRNA from 1 species
GGGUCUUGUACCCAGGUGGUGUGAAUCUUCUGCCUUGGUUCUUCCACAGGGGACAUUGUGUAAUAUCGCUGGGCCUCACACGUACAUUAUGUGACUCUCCUGCCUGUGCCCUGUCCAUGUGGGCCAUUGUGACAUAUUGCUGGGUCCAACACCUGGUUGAUGUAACUCUACUGCCUAGGUCCUGCCUACGGAGGACAUUGUGAUGUAUCCCUGAACCCAUCACACAGUUCUGCCCUCAGAGGACAUUGUGACAUGUCACUGGGCCCAAUACUAAGAUGACAUCAUUCUUUAGUUUUGGCACUGCCCUCAGAAGCCGUGGUGGUGUAUUGCUGGGCCCAGAGCCAAUGUGAUGUGAGUCUCCUGCCUGGAUCCUGCCUACAAGGUGCAUUGUGACAUAUCUCUGGGCCCUUUGACUAUUUUAUGUGACUCCUCUCUUACCUGGAUGUUGCCCAAAAAGAGAUUGUGACAUACUUUGCACCCAGCACUGAGGUGAUUUGACUCUCCUCUUCUGCCUGUGCUUUGCC